UCACAAUGCUGAUUUCUCCGAGGAGAAAACCUUAUAAAACCGAUAUUUAUGUAACCUCUUUGGUUCGUGGAUCUUCUAAUAUUUAUCGGUCAUGGCCCUUAGAAGUUCAUCGUUGCGUGUAUCGCCAAAUUAUACGAACAAACCGACGGUGGUGGUUGGACGGUACGGGAUAGCGGCAAGUGGUUUUCUCGGUUGUCAAUUCGAACCGGAGCGCACCCUCGGGGGCAGGGGGUGAAGUUAAAUAUUACCGUGCGGGUCGGACAGAUACCGCGAGCGGUCGUGCGGGGUAGCGGCACGAGGGACCGUCACUAUCGGGUUGAACGAAGGGAGAAUACGUUAUUCCAUU